GACGAACGCUGGCGGCGUGCUAAACACAUGCAAGUCGAACGAUGAAGCUAGAGCUUGCUCUGGUGAAUUAGUGGCGAACGGGUGAGUAACACGUGAGUAACCUGCCCCGAACUCUGGGAUAACUGCUGGAAACGGUAGCUAAUACUGGAUACGACCUACGAAGGCAUCUUCUGUAGGUGGAAAGAAUUUCGGUUCGGGAUGGACUCGCGGCCUAUCAGCUUGUUGGUGAGGUAACGGCUCACCAAGGCGACGACGGGUAGCCGGCCUGAGAGGGUGACCGGCCACACUGGGACUGAGACACGGCCCAGACUCCUACGGGAGGCAGCAGUGGGGAAUAUUGCACAAUGGGCGCAAGCCUGAUGCAGCAACGCCGCGUGAGGGAUGACGGCCUUCGGGUUGUAAACCUCUUUUAGUAGGGAAGAAGCGCAAGUGACGGUAGGUGCAGAAGAAGGACCGGCCAACUACGUGCCAGCCGCCGCGGUAA
rnacentral:rRNA from 1 species